GGGUGCACCAGGCGCGAAAACUUUACAAUGCCGGCAACGGCGAUAAGGGGACCUCGAGUGCCAGGUUACAAAUCUGGCCGUCGUGAUGCCUAAAAAGCAUUGCAUAGCAAGGGCCGGGCAAGACCGGUGCCAGCCGCCGCGGUAACACCGGCGGCUCGAGUGGUAACCGUUAUUAUUGGGUCUAAAGGGUCUGUAGCCGGCCGGAUAAGUCUCUUGGGAAAUUUGGCAGCUUAACUGUCAGGCUUUCAGGAGAUACUGUCUGGCUCGAGGCCGGGAGAGGUGAGAGGUACUUCAGGGGUAGGGGUGAAAUCUUGUAAUCCUUGAAGGACCACCAGUGGCGAAGGCGUCUCACCAGAACGGACCUGACGGCAAGGGACGAAAGCUAGGGGCACGAACCGGAUUAGAUACCCGGGUAGUCCUAGCCGUAAACGAUACUCGCUAGGUGUCGGCCACGGUGCGACCGUGGUCGGUGCCGUAGGGAAGCCGUGAAGCGAGCCACCUGGGAAGUACGGCCGCAAGGCUGAAACUUAAAGGAAUGGCGGGGGAGCACAAGGGCGAUUCGCG
rnacentral:rRNA from 1 species